AAAUCCAUAUGAUGAGCAGGAAGACAGAAGGUCUAGCCAUGGAGUGGUGAGAAAUGUUAAAAAUAUGGAGCAUCUCUCUCUUUGAGCACUAUUAUUGUUGUAAAGGCCAGUGACAGGUUUGUAAAGUUUUCUUCAAGAGCUUUCAAUGAUUUGGAUGUUCACUAUAUGUGAUAAAGAUAUAUGGCAUAACUAGAUGUAAACCAUCCGUUUAAUUUAAAUGAGAUAGUGUUGAAAUGCUACUGUUCCUGGUGGUUGUUAUUAUUGUUUAUAUCAGACCCAAGUGCCAAUGUUCUACAAUUAUUACAUUUAUAUUAGUGUGGAUAUGACAUAGAUUUUCAUUGAUG
rnacentral:misc_RNA from 1 species